GAUUCUGGCUCAGGAUGAACGCUGGCGGCGUGCUUAACACAUGCAAGUCGAACGGGAUCCGACAAGCUUGCUUGUCGGUGAGAGUGGCGAACGGGUGAGUAAUGCGUGACCGACCUGCCCCAUACACCGGAAUAGCUCCUGGAAACGGGUGGUAAUGCCGGAUGCUCCAGUCCAUCGCAUGGUGGUCUGGGAAAGAUUUCAUCGGUAUGGGAUGGGGUCGCGUCCUAUCAGGUAGUCGGCGGGGUAACGGCCCACCGAGCCUACGACGGGUAGCCGGCCUGAGAGGGCGACCGGCCACAUUGGGACUGAGAUACGGCCCAGACUCCUACGGGAGGCAGCAGUGGGGAAUAUUGCACAAUGGGCGCAAGCCUGAUGCAGCGACGCCGCGUGCGGGAUGACGGCCUUCGGGUUGUAAACCGCUUUUGAUCGGGAGCAAGCCUUCGGGUGAGUUACCUCGAAUAAGCACCGGCUAACUACGUGCCAGCAGCCGCGGUAAUACGUAGGGUGCAAGCGUUAUCCGGAAUUAUUGGGCGUAAAGGGGUGGUAGGCGGUUCGUCGCGUCCGGUGUGAAAGUCCAUCGCUUAACGGUGGAUCCGCCCCGGGUACGGGCGGGCUUGAGUGCGGUAGGGGAGACUGGAAUUCCCGGUGUAACGGUGGAAUGUGUAGAUAUCGGGAAGAACACCAAUGGCGAAGGCAGGUCUCUGGGCCGUCCCUGACGAUGAGGAGAGAAAGCGUGGGGAGGGAACAAGAUUAGAUACCCUGGUAGUUCCCCCCGUAAACGGUGGAUGCUGGAUGUGGGGCCCAUUCCACGGGUUCAGUGUCGGAGCUAACGCGUAAGCUCGCCGCCUGGGAGACGCCCGCAAGGCUAAAACUCAAAGAAAUUGACGGGGGCCCGCACAA
rnacentral:rRNA from 1 species